rnacentral:tRNA from 13 species
UAUGGCAGAUUAGUGCAUUGGA